rnacentral:rRNA from 1 species
GACGAACGCUGGCGGCGUGCCUAACACAUGCAAGUCGACCCUAGUGGCGAACGGGUUACUAACACGUUGGUAACCUGGCGAUCAGUAGGGGAUAACACCGGGUAAUAAGUGCUAAUACCGUAUACGGAUGGAUGGACCCGCGGUGAAUUAGCUAGUUGGUGAGGUAACGGCUCACCAAGGCCACGAUCCGUAGCCGGUCUGAGAGGUUGAUCGGCCACAUUGGGACUGAGACACGGCCCAGACUCCUACGGGAGGCAGCAGUAGGGAAUCUUCGACAAUGGGCGAAAGUCUGACCCAGCAACGCCGCGUGAGUGAAGAAGGUCUUCGGGUCGUAAAACACUGUCGUUAGAGAAGCGGUACCUGAACAAAAAGCCACGGCUAACUCCGUGCCAGCAGCCGCGGUAAUAC